GUCGAGCGAACAGACGAGGAGCUUGCUUCUCUGACGUUAGCGGCGGACGGGUGAGUAACACGUGGAUAACCUACCUAUAAGACUGGGAUAACUUCGGGAAACCGGAGCUAAUACCGGAUAAUAUAUUGAACCGCAUGGUUCAAUAGUGAAAGACGGUUUUGCUGUCACUUAUAGAUGGAUCCGCGCCGCAUUAGCUAGUUGGUAAGGUAACGGCUUACCAAGGCAACGAUGCGUAGCCGACCUGAGAGGGUGAUCGGCCACACUGGAACUGAGACACGGUCCAGACUCCUACGGGAGGCAGCAGUAGGGAAUCUUCCGCAAUGGGCGAAAGCCUGACGGAGCAACGCCGCGUGAGUGAUGAAGGUCUUCGGAUCGUAAAACUCUGUUAUUAGGGAAGAACAAAUGUGUAAGUAACUAUGCACGUCUUGACGGUACCUAAUCAGAAAGCCACGGCUAACUACGUGCCAGCAGCCGCGGUAAUACGUAGGUGGCAAGCGUUAUCCGGAAUUAUUGGGCGUAAAGCGCGCGUAGGCGGUUUUUUAAGUCUGAUGUGAAAGCCCACGGCUCAACCGUGGAGGGUCAUUGGAAACUGGAAAACUUGAGUGCAGAAGAGGAAAGUAGAAUUCCAUGUGUAGCGGUGAAAUGCGCAGAGAUAUGGAGGAACACCAGUGGCGAAGGCGACUUUCUGGUCUGUAACUGACGCUGAUGUGCGAAAGCGUGGGGAUCAAACAGGAUUA
rnacentral:rRNA from 1 species